UGGCUCUGGCAUCGAUGAAGAACGCAGCGAAAUGCGAUAAGUAAUGCGAAUUGCAGAUCUCAGUGAGUCAUCGAAUCUUUGAACGCACAUUGCGCCCUCUAGUAUCCUGGAGGGCAUGCCUGUUCGAGCGUCACUACAACACUCAAGCUCUGCUUGGCGUUGGGGUUAUACGGCGGAUUAUCUGCCGUAUGCCCUCAAAAUCAGUUGGCGGGACCGCGAGGAAACCGGACGAAGUAGAAAUUACAGCGUCAAGGGAUACCGAGCUUGGCCUCUAGCCAUUAAACUCAUUUUUAUAACCAGUGUUGACCUCGGAUCAGGUAGGAAUACCCGCUGA
rnacentral:misc_RNA from 1 species